rnacentral:rRNA from 1 species
UAGAACGACUCUCGACAACGGAUAUCUCGGCUCUCGCAUCGAUGAAGAACGUAGCGAAAUGCGAUACGUGGUGUGAAUUGCAGAAUCCCGUGAACCAUCGAGUUUUUGAACGCAAGUUGCGCCCGAAGCCUUCAGGUUGAGGGCACGUCUGCCUGGG